GUGAGGAAUAUUGCGCAAUGGACGAAAGUCUGACGCAGCCAUGCCGCGUGCAGGAUGACGGCCCUAUGGGUUGUAAACUGCUUUUGUAUAGGAAGAAACUCGAAUACGUGUAUUUGAUUGACGGUACUAUAUGAAUAAGCAUCGGCUAACUCCGUGCCAGCAGCCGCGGUAAUACGGAGGAUGCAAGCGUUAUCCGGAUUUAUUGGGUUUAAAGGGUGCGUAGGCGGAAUAUUAAGUCAGUGGUGAAAUCCUGCAGCUUAACUGUAGCACUGCCAUUGAUACUGAGAUUCUUGAGUACGGUUGAGGUAGGCGGAAUGUGUAAUGUAGCGGUGAAAUGCUUAGAUAUUACACAGAACACCGAUUGCGUAGGCAGCUUACUAAGCCGCAACUGACGCUGAGGCACGAAAGCGUGGGGAUCGAACAGGAUUAGAAACCCCAGUAGUCC
rnacentral:rRNA from 1 species